UACGUAGGGGGCAAGCGUUGUCCGGAAUCAUUGGGCGUAAAGAGCGCGCAGGCGGCUGGUCAAGUCCGAUGUGAAAUCUCCCGGCUCAACUGGGAAACUGCAUCGGAAACUGAUCGGCUUGAAGAUGGGAGAGGGUAGUGGAAUUCCCGGUGUAGUGGUGAAAUGCGUAGAUAUCGGGAGGAACACCAGUGGCGAAGGCGACUACCUGGCCCAUUCUUGACGCUGAGGCGCGAAAGCUAGGGGAGCGAACGGG
rnacentral:rRNA from 1 species